GAUGAACGCUGGCGGCGUGCCUAAUACAUGCGAGUCGAGCGAACGGACGAGAAGCUUGCUUCUCUGAUGUUAGCGGCGGACGGGUUAGUAACACGUGGAUAACCUACCUAUAAGACUGGGAUAACUUCGGGAAACCGGAGCUAAUACCGGAUAAUAUUUUGAACCGCAUGGUUCAAAAGUGAAAGACGGUCUUGCUGUCACUUAUAGAUGGAUCCGCGCUGCAUUAGCUAGUUGGUAAGGUAACGGCUUACCAAGGCAACGAUGCAUAGCCGACCUGAGAGGGUGAUCGGCCACACUGGAACUGAGACACGGUCCAGACUCCUACGGGAGGCAGCAGUAGGGAAUCUUCCGCAAUGGGCGAAAGCCUGACGGAGCAACGCCGCGUGAGUGAUGAAGGUCUUCGGAUCGUAAAACUCUGUUAUUAGGGAAGAACAUAUGUGUAAGUAACUGUGCACAUCUUGACGGUACCUAAUCAGAAAGCCACGGCUAACUACGUG
rnacentral:rRNA from 1 species